GCAAAGUAACUUGAUUGGCCACGCGUAUUCUUGGGGAAUUAACACACUUUACCAGCUGUUAUUGCUUGAGAAUACACGUAGUUAAAAAGAGUGAACACCCA
rnacentral:pre_miRNA from 1 species